rnacentral:rRNA from 1 species
CGUAGGUGGCAAGCGUUGUCCGGAAUUAUUGGGCGUAAAGCGCGCGCAGGCGGUCCUUUAAGUCUGAUGUGAAAGCCCACGGCUCAACCGUGGAGGGUCAUUGGAAACUGGGGACUUGAGUGCAGAAGAGGAGAGCGGAAUUCCACGUGUAGCGGUGAAAUGCGUAGAGAUGUGGAGGAACACCAGUGGCGAAGGCGGCUCUCUGGUCUGUAACUGACGCUGAGGCGCGAAAGCGUGGGGAGCAAACAGGAUUAGAUACCCUGGUAGUCCACGCCGUAAACGAUGAGUGCUAAGUGUUAGAGGGUUUCCGCCCUUUAGUGCUGCAGCAAACGCAUUAAGCACUCCGCCUGGGGAGUACGGCCGCAAGGCUG